CACGUAGGGGGCGAGCGUUGUCCGGAUUUAUUGGGCGUAAAGAGCUCGUAGGCGGUUCGGUAAGUCGGGUGUGAAACCUCCAGGCUCAACCUGGAGUCGCCACUCGAUACUGCUGUGACUAGAGUCCGGUAGGGGAGCGUGGAAUUCCUGGUGUAGCGGUGAAAUGCGCAGAUAUCAGGAGGAACAGCCAGCGGCGAAGGCGGCGCUCUGGGCCGGAACUGACGCUGAGGAGCGAAAGCGUGGGUAGCAAACAGG
rnacentral:rRNA from 1 species